AAAUGGAAUAUUUUGACGUAUUAAUGGUUCCCUAUAAAACCCUUUAAUUCUAAGAAAGUGUCAUAUGGUCUUGAACUCGGUCAAAACACUGCAGUAUGAAGGGUGAUAAUGAGUAAGCCUACGUUCAGUCGUUUUUUGAAAGCGACCACGCUGAGAUUGCUCCGUGAGCGACCGCUUCUGUGUGCAGCUGGCCUGGUGAUCGCUACGGGUUCGGCAGUCUACUUUUAUAACAAAUAUUACGGCGUCGGUGAGGAUGAACCGGCCACCGGGGAGACCGUGGACCGUGUUGUCACGGUUGAGGAGGAUCAUGAUCCCACCCUGGACCAGGAGGACCCAGUCCUUGUUCAGUUUGUGGAUGAGGAGGUUGGGCAGCGGCCCUGUCUGGCUUUAGUCCCUUGGUCUGGACCUCUGUGGGUUCCCAGCUCUCUGACUUAUUACCUUACCCUUGCUGGGAGGAUGUUAGUGAGAGAGCUGGCAGUGUUAAACACACAGAUGUUCAUGAGGGAUCAGCCUGUUCUCAUCUGUUUCACUCCUGUUGGGAGGAUGGUGUGGGAGGAACUGUCUUCUCAAACUGAACAGCCAAAUAGUGAAGACUCUGGUUUUCCCUAUGAGAAGAUGCAGCUGGUUGGGAACUGGGGUUCAUUUCAUUUCCAUACCUGGAUAAUCCGUUAUGGACGAGUGCAGCAAAAUGAAGAGGACAUGCAUCACCUGUGCAUUGUGAGGGGAGUGGAGAAACAGCUGUGGUGGAGCAGAGUCAUUCAGGAAAAAAUCAUGGACCCAUGGGGUAUUGUCCAGGUGGUCCUCACCAACAAGGAGGUGACUGGUAUUAAGUUCCUUGGUAGAAGGAUCCAUGGACUCAGGUCUUGCCUCGUCAAGAGGAGGUUAGAGUUCACCUAUUAUGAGGACGCCCAGCAGGUGGAUAUCUCCACCACAGUGGAGGGGUUCCAGGAGAGGGGGGAUGACAUGAUGGCGUAUCAGUUCUCUACCUCUGACAUUAUCACCAUCCCUCAUGAGCCGUCCUCUGGCUCCUCUCACCAGUUCCCCCAGGAUUCUCCACCUCCCCCUCCGCCUCCCCCAUUCCCUUCCGAUUCCCCUCCACCUUACCACUUCACCCAGGACCAGGCCCAGGACCAGACCCCUGACAGCACUCCUCAGGAGUUUGUGGAGGAGCAACAUAAUGUUGCAGAUGUGCCCCAGCUGUGGAGUUACUUUGGAAACCAAGGGACAACCAACUUCUCUCUGAGGCUGGCCUGUAUCCGACGUGCUAUGGAGGCUCUGACAUCCUCAGACAGUUCCUCCCUUAAUUACCUCACCCACGCUGGGAGGAUGGUGUUGAGUGGACUGUCCAAGCUCAACCAGCAGAUCAACCACAUCAACUUCACGGAUGUAUUUUAUGAAUUCGUUCUACUAAGCCUUCUAGAAGGAAAAACAUCUCUUCCAACAUCUAGGCCUGGUACCUUCUUUUAUCUGCUCAUGGAAGUGAUCAUGAGGAUUCGCCCUCCUGGAGGAGCCUGGACAGAGUCUGCUGGGAACUUCUACCUCCUCAUUAAGGAUCAGAUGAAGGCGUGGUUGGACUCCAUCUUCAACCUUGAUGAGUCCAUCUAUGAAAGCCCACAGAGGCUCUCGUGGCAGGUGAUGGUGAAUCUAGAAAUGCAGGUUGACUUCCUCCUGUCCAGCCUGGAUUAAGGGUCCCAAACUGAGCUGAGGAUCCCAAACAUAAAAUAAAAGUAUUUUGCAUUUAAACAUUACCUUUCAAUCUGAAACUAAUUUUACAUCAUGUCAAAACAAAUCAAAUCAAAUUUUAUUGGUCACAAACACAUGGUUAGCAGAUGUUAAUGCGAGUGUAGCGAAAUGCUUGUGCUUCUAGUUCCGACCGUGCAGGAAAAUCUAACACGUAAUCUAACAAUUUCAA
rnacentral:lncRNA from 1 species